rnacentral:rRNA from 1 species
CGCUUGUCUCAAAGAUUAAGCCAUGCAUGUCGUAGUACUUGCUUUUCCUUAUGAAAGAGCGAAACCGCGGACGGCUCAUUAAAUCGGUUACGGUUCACUCGCCCGUCCGCGUCCUGCUUUGUCAGGGCGUAGUCGGAUAACUGUGGUAAUUCUAGAGCUAAUACGUGCAACUUACGGCUUCCGAGAAAAUCGGGGGCUGGCAUUUAUUAGUCUGGCGUGCGCGACCUUUAAGGUUUCGCGCGCCUGACGGCUCUGAAUAACGGUGGCGGAUCGUCCUCUUCUGAGGACGACCGGGCUUUUGAGUGUCCGCCUUAUCAACUUUCGACGGUAGGUCAGCGCCUACCGUGGUGGUUACGGGUGACGGGGAAUCAGGGUUCGAUUCCGGAGAGGGAGCCUGAAAGACGGUUAUCACAUCCGAGGCAGGCAGCAGGCACGCAAAUUACCCACUCUCCGAAAGAGAGGAGGUAGUGACGAAAAAUAACGAUACGGGACUCUUAACGAGGCCUCGUAAUCGGAAUGAGACCGCUUCAAAUCCUCGAGACGAGGAUCUAUCGGAGGGCAAGUCUGGUGCCAGCAGCCGCGGUAAUUCCAGCUCCGAUAGCGUAUAUUAAAGUCGCUGCGGUUAAAAAGCUCGUAGUUGGAUUUGGGUCGACCGGGCCGCCGGGCCGCCGCCUCCGUGUGGCGAGUUCCCGUGUGUCCCCGGGACCGCACGUUCACCCCCGCAGUGCUCUUAACUGAGUGUCUGCGGUAGCGGGUGACCGAACGUUUACCUUGACAAAACCGGAGUGCUCGAGGCGUGGGCGUUCGCCGCCCGUACGUCCUCGCUGGGAAUAAUGGAAGAGGACCGUUGGUCAAAAAAGGUUUUUUGUCAGAGAGGUGGGAGAGCAAAAAAGAGGUUGUGCUGGUGGGGGGUUACAAAGGGGGGUGACUCCCUUUCCCCCUCUGGUCUUCCUCUUUCUCCUCCUCGAAACCUUCCUCCCCGCGUACAGCACUGUGGAUCGGCUGGCGCUUUAUGGCGGAAAGGGUGGAUCUAGAAAGAAGGGUGAAAGCAGGUGGCUGUUUGCCAGAUGGUGAAAACCGGAUGGCCGGUCGUUUGUGGAAGCCUGGAAUCUUUUUCCCCCUUGCUGUCGUGGUGCUUCCGUACCCUCGGUGUCAGCGGGAGGAGGUCGAAAAUCAAAAUAAAAAAACGUGUCAUGAUUAAGAGGGACGGCCGGGGGCAUUCGUACCGCGGCGCGAGAGGUGAAAUUCUAGGACCGUCGCGAGACGAACGAUAGCGAAAGCAU